GUUUAUUUGUAUGGACUUGAAAAGUUGUAGUUUUUGGGCUUUAGGCUGACUAUCCACAAGAUUUAUAACAAUUUAAUUGUGCUGCACAGGUCUGACAUUUUUGUGCACUGUACAAACUUUGGAUUUGUUCCUUUCUAAUUAGUUUAUUAUUCAUUUCAACGUUUGGAUUUUUGGCAACUUAUCUAAAUCAAAGUUGGAUUCAUUUCUUU
rnacentral:misc_RNA from 1 species